AAAAGACUCAAAGAAGGGAUUGAGUACUAAAGGACAUCCUUUUCCCUAGAAAACUUUCCCCAACUUUUUCUUCAAUGUCACCUGAGGACUUGUGCAAUGACACCUCCUGGAUGGAUUAUUUCAGCUCUGCCUGCAGGUUUCUUCUGUGGAAGUGGAUGAGCUUCCAUCCUUCUGUGGGCGACCACCAUCUCUGCUGCUAUGUGAGAUUUGUGCCAUAACGUCUUGUGAUGGUUGCUAGACCACCUUUUUUGCUAAACUGCAGGCUGGAAUGAUGAAAAGAAAGGGAAAAGCAGAGCCCAGAGUACUGAUGUGUACAGUAGCAAUGGCAGAGCAGGUAAGUGAGGAGGAAAUACUGCUACAAUUCUGGGAGUAUUCAAGAUUUUCUGAUUUUCUGACACUGCAUUUUGGAAAUAUUAAACAACAUUUUCCUCACCUUUAUAGCUCUGCCCUGUGUCCCCUUACUUUUGAUGUCUAUUUGGUUUACCUAGACAAAUUCUGUCAGGAUCCUUUUGUGUGAGUUUCUUCUUUUAUUUUGCAUAGUUCCAGAAAGCAAUCAAGGUAAUUAUGAAUUGAAAAGGAAAAGGACAAAGAUCAUGAUGAGCUGUAUAAUGAAUAUUGAUUCCUUAACAAUAACCUCAUUUUCCAAAUGAAGACUUAUUGGAUUCUAUCAGAGCUAGUUACAGUCCAUAGAUUCUUUAAUUUUUAUUAUUUUUCUUCUGUAGGUUUGUAUUUCUAGAUCUGAACAAAGUAAUGCUGU